UAGGAGACACUCAACCAAAGUCGCAGAACGCGGGACCAUGUCUGCAUUCUUGUUUGGGUUCAGUUUUAUUUUAAGCACAGGAAAAUGCAAAACAUCCUGGAAUAUAUUACUCACGAUUAUUGCCAAGGGAAAGAAAUCUGUCUCCUAUUUGAAGAACUGCCUGGCGAUAGAUUGUGGCAAUCACACAGAACUUUGCAAUUUGCAAAGGGCUCCACUUCAUUUGAUCCCACAAGCUUGUGCGAGAAGGAAAUGGGUCAGAGAAUUAAACACCAGAGCAAGAGAUUGCCAAGAAGAUGAACCCACUCACUCACGAUCCCACGUGCCUGCUUCCAUCUGCAGAACCCGGAUGGGAAGACCCAUCCCAGCAGGGUUCAUGUGAAGCUCACCAUCAGAACCUGAGGCAGAGCCAAGCCCAGCCCUCCACCGGCGGCAGCAGAGCACACAGGCUGGGAAAGGCGCGGUGAGGGAGGCUGGAAGAGCCUUUGAAGUCCUGCUUUUGCAGAAACAAACCUAUAAAUGAUGGCGUAUAUCAUAAGCACAGUAAUGAAUUGCCUUAAAACUGGUGUCUGCUUCACUUUAGUGUUUUUUUUUUUUUUAAUGGCAGCAUUUUUCUUUUUCUUUUUUAAAAGAUUUAAUUUUAAUUUCAGUUAGUUAGCUUCAGGAGUAUAAUAGAGUGAUUCAACACGGCUAUACAUAGGCCGCAUGUUAAUGUUUAAUGUGGAGUUACAGAUGUUGAUCAAGGGGGAAAAAAAAAAAAACCUGGGAAGAAAAUAUGGUACAAG